GAGGGGAUAGCUCAGUGGUACAGUGCAUGCCUAGCACGCAUGAGGUCCUGGGUUCAAUCCCCACUCCCUCCA
rnacentral:tRNA from 1 species